rnacentral:lncRNA from 1 species
GCCGCCACUUCCCUUUUAUUCCCUUCUUUUGUGCGACAAAAUAAGGAUUCUUCACCAUGAAAAAUCAGUUGGAGACCUUAUUUACCAUGAAAAAAUAUGGGAAGGGGUGUGCCAUAUUUAUUUGGGGCAUAUUUUGGCAUUAAUUGAUGAGAGGGGCGACACAUCUUGAUGGAGUCCAAGAUCCUUUGGACUCUUCACCCCACCUCUUACACACCAAAAUAAAAGGUUUUUAUUUUUUGUUUUGUAUGUGUAAUAGAGAAGA